rnacentral:lncRNA from 1 species
UUUCAUUCAACUUUAGACCAAACCUAAUUAAAUCUUAAAUCCUAAUAAUUCCUAAAUCCUAAGUCAAAUCCUAAACAAAUCUUAAAUUAAACCCUAUUCCAAACCCUAAAUGCUAAACUAAACCCUAAUCCAACCCUAAACUCUAAUCCAAAUCCUAAACCCUAAACCAAAUCUUAAAUCAAACCCUAACCAAAUCCUAAUCCAAACCCUAAAUCAAAUCCUAACCAAAUCCUAAAUCCUAAUCCAAACCCUA